rnacentral:lncRNA from 1 species
AAAGAGAGCAUCUCCCAGUGGCAAAGAUAAGAGCCCACGUCCUUCCUGUAUCCUGUGGCUAUGCAUUCUCAGCCACAAGAGUCAGCAAGUCCCCUUCCAGAGGGAAGCGAUUUGGACAAUAACAUCUCAGACUGAUGCUGCUAAUCUGCCCUUACCCAAGGGAAGUGGGUGAGGUCAGAAGACGGGGAAAGACUUGUCUGCUGUCAGGAUGAUGGUGAUACUGACGCAUCAAAUAGAGCUGAAUGCUGCUGUAAAGGUAGGGAAAUUGGGACUGGUGCGCCCUUCUUGUUGUUAUUUAAGUGUUUAUUAUAUGCAUUUUUGGUGCUUGUGAAAUGCUGUGGGUUAAAAACCUUUUUGAUAAAUAGAGGGCGAGAUAGGACAGGAUCAGCUAUUCUAAUUUUAUUGUAGAACACUGCAAAGAUCCUAUGGAGAAAAAGACAAAACAGUGUAUUCAAG